CCUUAUUAUUUAUGUAAUAAAACCUACAAUUGACUUUCCUGAGACUUGUAGCAUUCCUUAGACAGGGGAUACCUGCCUUCUGAAACACUGCUCAGAGAAACUGGAGCAAAUAUGCUAUUUUUGAGAUUUAGUCGCCUAUGGGAAGAAAAUCAAAAUUUUAAAUUAGGAAACACUCAGUGGAUUCUGUAAGUUUCUUCAUGGAUAUGCAGAUGAUGAAACUGAAGGGGAGAGAGUGAUUUUCUUAAAAUUGGUAUUCUGAAAUUUAAUGCAGUACUUAUGAAGUCUUUUAUACACUGCCAUUGGAAUGAGUCACUGGACUGUAUUCACCUAAAGUUCAGGUCUGGUCAACAUUUUAGACCCAAAGGUCAACAAACUAUGUAGAUUUGACCCAGAUAACAGAUGCAGUCUGGUACCCAUUUGUGUCAUUUUUAUGUGGCCAAACCUAACUUUGUGGUUUCAUCAUGACAGGCUUUAGUUUGCAGUAGAGAUCUUGUGGCUCAGGAGCCUGAAGAGUUUACUACUCAGCUCUGUGAAUCUUCUUUAAGAUGAUCUUUGAGAAUACCUUUCCAUGUCGUCCUUAAAGCAAGCUAUUGUCAUCCAUUGCUAGCAUUCAGAUUCUCAAGACAAGUAUGUCAUGAGAAAUGAACCUGCAAAGACUACCUGCUUUCUUACCACACUCAUUUCUCCUCACCACUUGUGCCUGCUGAAGUCUCUCCUCAAUCCUCUGCCAAGUGACUACUUGUUGUCUGGAAACUUCUGAGGACACUGGGGAAUCUGGUGGUAACAUGGGCAAGGCACAAGAAGUUAAGGACAGUUUCUGACCUCAAAUCAGAUUUUACCAUUUUAGGGAUGUAACCUUGAAUGGAUGGUGGUGUUUUAAUUUCUUCCGCUGUAAGUUACCUAUUUUGUUGGCUUUUUGAACAUCAAUGGGUAUAUGUGUCUGAUACUCGUAAUGCUUAGUAGUAUCAGGUAUGAGAAGGACAACAGUUACAGAAGACGCUACUAUAAUCCAUUCAUAGGAAAUACAGAGGGCUGCCAAAUGCAAAGUGAGAGUAUCAACUUUGUUCUAGCCUGUCUGUAGCCUAGAAGGCCUUAAUAUAAAUGUCGGAGGGAAGUUCUCUCAAUAAUUCAGGAUGGUGCUCCAACAGGCCACAAGGGGAGAAAUGGCAGGAGUUAAAGCUGAAAGCAUGCUGAGGGCCAGGUGUGAAUGACAUCAAGACAUUUAAGGACUUUGCUUUAAGAACAAUGGUAACUCACUAAUACAGCAAACCACAUAUGUUGCAUUUUUGAAAUUUCAGUUUGGCUGUCAGGUAGAAAACAUGAAAUUUAAGUAGAUAAAAAGCAUGUGGACCAUUAGAAGGUUUUGAUGUUUAAAACGUCAUCAAUUAGGUAAGUGCUUGUGAGGAUGAAAGUGAGGAGUGACACAUGGACGGGUCUUCUGAGGAGGACGGUGAUAUUUAAAUGUUUUCCAAAGCUGAAGAGGAGGAAUUCAUGACGCCUCUCUUGGUUUCUAUUUUCCAGUUGGUGUUCUUUAUAUAAAGUGGGGACAUUUGCUGUUUAAUGAGGCAAGGAUUCUCACGGGGCCACAAUUUCAUCUGGAAGAGAUAGAGUGCCAGCCUAUCAUGGUUUGAGAAGCUUGGGAGAUGCACAUAGACACACAGGCACCUGGUAGUAAGGCGCCAGGGUGGAGCUUCAGAGUUUAAUCUUCCGUGAAAUUGUCUGUGCUGCCUCACAGGGAAGCCACGUCUAAACACUGGAAGAUGUUCCAUAGCCAGCACUUUGAGAACUUAUUUCACAUAGUCUUGAUUUAUACCUUACAUUUGAUUUACUUACAUGGCACAGCAUGAUUCCUAAAGGUUAAAAGCAAUGGCUAUUAUUUAUUUAUUUAUUUUUAUUUAUUUAUUUAUUUAUUUAUUUAUUUAGGAGACAUGGUUGUUAAUUUCACUUCAGUCAUAUAGUGUGUCCAUUCACUUAGACUCAGCACUUUUCUGGUGUUAUAAAAGAAGACUUUGUUUUUACUAAACAACAUGUAUCUGUCGAAAUGACUUCUUGGAUGUUAUUUCAGAAGUUCAAGUGAGUUUUCAGGAUUCAGCUCACAGUAUUCAGAUACGAAUCUAUAAUCUGUUCUGUAUCCAUUCUGUAGGCAGGAAGAGGUACACGGUUGGCCACAAACCUCAGGUCAAAACUUGUUUCCUCAUAGGCAGUGGUCAAUGAAAAAGACAGACAACAAAGGAAAUGUUUGUAAAGCGUAGAGCGUAUGAGAUAGCAAAAGUGAUUUGGAGAAAAUUCACACUAAGAAGUUGGAAGGGGUAUUUUUGGUUUUCAGUGGGGUUGUCCAAGAAGACUGUGCUGUGACAUUUGAAAAUUGAUAUAAUAGGGAUGGAGAUGGAAGUCAAGCAAAUAUCUGGGAUCCGAGUCUGGCAGACAGACAGUCAUGGCUUUCAGUAACCCAACAACAGUGAAAUAAGAGACAAAGUUAUAGUAGAUGAAAUUUGCUAAAGGAGAAGGCAUGACUGCAGGUUUUGGGGCCUUUUAGACAACGAUAGAAAGGAAGCCAGAGUUUCCAGUAGUGGCAUGUUGUGUUUCAGCUUCCUUUCUGAAGGAUCACUAUAGUUGUUACAGAAAAAGAAAGAACAACUUUGGGAGUCAGAAUGGCAGCAGAGAGGACUGCAGUAAUUCAGGCAAAUAAGAACUUAUGGACAUACUCCAUUCCAAUAGGUCUGGAGUCUGCCUGCACUGCUCUGUCCCAACAGCUCAUUCAUGACAGGCACUGAUCUCAAGAGUAGGCUUGAACUAUCCUGGGUACCAUAGAUAACCAUGUGUCCACAGAACCACCAACCCAGGGCAAAUUUCAUGUUGUUGUUUUCCAUUUUGUCAGUUAUCAUCUUAUUUACUUAUAAUAGUGAACUUGCUGAUUCCUUCUUGUCCCCAUAGGAGCUUUUCAGGGCUCUGACAUUCUUAGUAUAAAGAAUGUCUGUGUGGCAAGUAAAAUAAAAUGCCCUGCAAAGGUCCAUUCUGGACAACCUUGUUCUAGGAUGAAGUUAGGACAGACAGGGAUGUCUCUCAACUUCUGCACCUCGAGGAAUUGAUAGGUUAGAGUUAGGAAAAUGGUUUAACUUUAGUCUAUAUCACACCCAUUUACUCUACACACAGUAAAAAAAAUGAAUACAGAUAAGACUUAUUGUGAGAGCAGAUAAAAGCAGAAAGAUAGAAAUGAAGUUUUGAACAGGGGAAGUCAUGAACAGAGAAUCUUCCCAUAACACAUGGUGUCAGCGGAAACGGGAAAUUCUUUUACUUGAAAACUUCUUUGGAGAAAUGAUGUUCUUUUGCUCAUAAUAACCAUUGAAUUGUUGCUCACA
rnacentral:lncRNA from 1 species